UAAUCCGCUAUGAGCAGGAGAAGUACAUAUACGAACUUUGGAUCAGCGAGUCGGUGACCAGGCAACUGGAGGUGUGAUGACCGACCCAAAGAGUCUAUGGAAUGGGCCUGUGAGCUGCUCACUGAACGCAAUACGUCAGUAGGAUGAGUCGGUUGCCCCCGUUAUUGGGCUAGGGUAUCAGAUGUAAUAUCUCGUACCUGAGUAGAGGGAAAGCAUUAGCUUUCUAAAUUAGGGUGGUAUCGCGAAUCAUUUCGCCCCUUUC
rnacentral:ncRNA from 1 species